rnacentral:rRNA from 1 species
UACGGAGGAUGCAAGCGUUAUCCGGAAUGAUUGGGCGUAAAGCGUCCGCAGGUGGCAAUGUAAGUCUGCUGUCAAAGCGUCUGGCUCAACCAGAUAAAGGCAGUGGAAACUACAUAGCUAGAGUAAGGUAGGGGUAGAGGGAAUUCCUGGUGUAGCGGUGAAAUGCGUAGAGAUCAGGAAGAACACCGGUGGCGAAAGCGCUCUGCUGGACCUUAACUGACACUGAGGGACGAAAACUAGGGGAGCGAAUGGG